AGAGUUUGAUCCUGGCUCAGGACGAACGCUGGCGGCGUGCCUAAUACAUGCAAGUCGAACGAAGCUUUCUUUCACCGAAUGCUUGCAUUCACCGAAAGAAAACUUAGUGGCGAACGGGUGAGUAACACGUAGGCAACCUGCCCAAAAGAGGGGGAUAACACUUGGAAACAGGUGCUAAUACCGCAUAACCAUGAACACCGCAUGAUGUUCAUGUAAAAGACGGCUUUUGCUGUCACUUUUGGAUGGGCCUGCGGCGUAUUAACUUGUUGGUGGGGUAACGGCCUACCAAGGUGAUGAUACGUAGCCGAACUGAGAGGUUGAUCGGCCACAUUGGGACUGAGACACGGCCCAAACUCCUACGGGAGGCAGCAGUAGGGAAUCUUCCACAAUGGACGAAAGUCUGAUGGAGCAACGCCGCGUGAAUGGAGAAGGCCUUCGGGUCGUAAAAUUCUGUUGUCAGAGAAGAACGUGCGUGAGAGUAACUGUUCACGUAUUGACGGUAUCUGACCAGAAAGCCACGGCUAACUACGUGCCAGCAGCCGCGGUAAUACGUAGGUGGCAAGCGUUGUCCGGAUUUAUUGGGCGUAAAGGGAACGCAGGCGGUCUUUUAAGUCUGAUGUGAAAGCCUUCGGCUUAACCGAAGUAGUGCAUUGGAAACUGGAAGACUUGAGUGCAGAAGAGGAGAGUGGAACUCCAUGUGUAGCGGUGAAAUGCGUAGAUAUAUGGAAGAACACCAGUGGCGAAAGCGGCUCUCUGGUCUGUAACUGACGCUGAGGUUCGAAAGCGUGGGUAGCAAACAGGAUUAGAUACCCUGGUAGUCCACGCCGUAAACGAUGAGUGCUAAGUGUUGGAGGGUUUCCGCCCUUCAGUGCUGCAGCUAACGCAUUAAGCACUCCGCCUGGGGAG
rnacentral:rRNA from 1 species